AUAUUAGGGCAUAACUCCCUGAAAACACCAAACCUUGCCUAAUUUCAAAAGAUAAGCUGGGUCAGAUCUGGUCAGUACUUGGAUGGGAGAACACCAGGGGAAUCCAGGAUCUCUAGAUA
rnacentral:rRNA from 1 species